GAUUGUAGGCUGCAACUCGCCUACAUGAAGUCGGAAUCGCUAGUAAUCGCGGAUCAGCAUGCCGCGGUGAAUACGUUCCCGGGCCUUGUACACACCGCCCGUCACACCAUGAGAGUUUGUAACACCCAAAGCCGGUGGGGUAACCUUUUGGAGCCAGCCGUCUAAGGUGGGACAGAUGAUUGGGGUGAAGUCGUAACAAGGUACC
rnacentral:rRNA from 1 species